rnacentral:rRNA from 1 species
AACGUAGGAUCCGAGCGUUAUCCGAAUUUACUGGGCGUAAAGCGCGUGCAGGCGGUUCGAUAAGUUGGAUGUGAAAUCUCCUGGCUCAACUGGGAGAGGUCGUUCAAUACUGUCGGACUUGAGGAUGGUAGAGGGAGGUGGAAUUCCCGGUGUAGUGGUGAAAUGCGUAGAUAUCGGGAGGAACACCAGUGGCGAAAGCGGCCUCCUGGACCAUUUCUGACGCUCAGACGCGAAAGCUAGGGGAGCGAACGGG